GAUGAACGCUGGCGGCGUGCCUAAUACAUGCAAGUCGAGCGGUAAGGCUUCUUCGGAAGUACACGAGCGGCGGACGGCUGAGUAAUGCAUAGGAACGUACCCCAAACUGAGGGAUAAGCCACCGAAAGGUGGUCUAAUACCGCAUGUGCUCUUCGGAGUAAAGCUACGGCGGUUUGGGAGCGGCCUAUGUUCGAUUAGCUUGUUGGUGAGGUAAUGGCUCACCAAGGCGACGAUCGAUAGCGGGUCUGAGAGGAUGAUCCGCCAGACUGGAACUGAGACACGGUCCAGACUCCUACGGGAGGCAGCAGUAGGGAAUUUUCCACAAUGGGGGCAACCCUGAUGGAGCAACGCCGCGUGCAGGAUGAAGGCCUUCGGGUUGUAAACUGCUUUUCUCUGUGAUGAUUAUGACAGUAGCAGAGGAAUAAGGAUCGGCUAACUCCGUGCCAGCCGCCGCUGUAA
rnacentral:rRNA from 1 species